GGCCAGUUCAACAGCUCCUCCAACUCCCUGAAUUGUUUCAGAUAUAAAUCCAGCAACUUUUCCAGAAGUACCAUAUUCAAUGUGAUCUACCCUGAUCCAUACUCUUUGGCAUAACCAGUGGGAUCAGAACCAAAGAUUCCUCGGUAUGGAUCAGGGUUGAUCACGUGAUGGAUUUCACCCUGUGGUAUCGGGUACUUCCAUGUGUUCAAAGCAGUCAAUCCAAUUGUACUAGAACUUCCACCAUGAUAUGCAUUUGUCAAGGAAAUCAUAUCGAGAUUUCCACUGUAUAGUCUGGCCAUCAGCAUCGCUAAUUCAUUCGCUUCAGACCCAGAAUUUACAAAAUACACAACCUUAAGGUUUCCCGGCAUCUUGGCAGCCAAUGCCUCAGCAAAAUCAGCAAUGGCAUGGUGCAAGUAGAUGGUAGUAGCAUGCUGGAGAAGCUUGCUUUGUUCCAUAAUAGCAUUCAAAACUUCAGGAUGGCAAUGCCCACAUGAUACUGUUACUAUUCCAGCAAAGGCAUCCAGAUAUCGCCGCCCUCUUUCAUCGAACAAAUAUUGCAUCUUCCCUUCUACAAUAUUCAGAGGCUUUUGGUAGUAGUAGAAGAGAGAGGGACCCAGAAACUUCUUGCGUUUCUGGAGAAUCUCAUCUGCCAAGGGUCCAUUAUAAGGCUUCGGCUGGUAAUCAAACAAUGGGAGCUGAGGCGGAGGAGAAUCAGUGGCAGGGUCAGUAGAUGAAGAAAGCGUAGAGAAAGGAGAACAGAGAGAGAUCCUACAGUAAUGCAAAAACUUGGGUUUAGCUUCUUGCAGGGUUUUCUUCAAGAUUUGCCACUGUAACGCCAUCUCCAGGUUCAGAUGCUCAGAGAGAGGGAGAGAGAGAGA
rnacentral:misc_RNA from 1 species